rnacentral:lncRNA from 1 species
GUACUCUGAUCUGAACACAUACAAAUUGUCACAGCUUUGUCUCUGUGCGAGGAGAGGCACAGCUACAGAGGCACACGCACAUGAGUGAAUGAGUGUGUGUGUGUGUGUGUGUGUGUGUGUGUGUGUGUGUGUGUGUGUGUGUAUGCGCGCGCGCACACCAGUGUGCACCUUUUCUCAUUCUGUGAGUGUUUCUCUGAAUCCAAAUCAGGUGUCUAUUUUAAUGAUCACAUUUUAAAUUUUCCCUCCAGGGCAGCUUGUGAGAUUAGAACUAACUCAGCUAGAUUUUAUGGCCAUGACUUGUAUGCAAGUGAAGGGAAGAACUGUUUGGUUUUUCCCUCUGAAAACAGUUAUCCUGCUGUAUGCGGGUAUGUGUGCUUGACGACCUCCACACUUUACUUUUAAACAGCAUCUCAGAGCCAGCAGCACGAGCUCCUGGAUUGUGGUUUGAUAGCUUAACAAUCAGGUGUUUUAAUCAGAUCCUCCACAUACACUUCUCUUCUUGAUACGACACCACAUUUCUUGCCUCCUCUUCAUUCGCUGCUAGAAUGGGUUUUUAUACAGGACCAGCAGCAGAGGAAGGAGGCACCCCUGCAGUGGCUGGCAUUUCCUCCUGGGGAAACUAUCAUGCUCUUUGUUAGAUGUGGCUUGACUUCUGCAACAUUGUCUCUCCGGGCUCGUGGCACCGUGAAGGGUGCCACUGUCACUUCUCAUGUAAGAAGCCAUUGCUGUACCUGAUUGUCCAAGGACAUUCCUCCAUCCCUCCAGGACAGGACCUGCUAGGAUGUCACUGGGCCUCUCCGACCCGGCAGUUUAUAGGAAUGGUAUCUAUGUGCAGCCUUUCCUGAGGCCGCAGGAGGGCUUCCCGACUUGGGGGUUUGUGUGGCAGAGAGCCGGAAGGUCACCACUGAGUGAUGUCCCCAAUUGGCCGAGUCAUUGCACUCUUAAGAAAGAGGGUUCCCGGGCCUCAAGAAUGGCCCCUGUGUUUCAAUAUGCCUUUCGUGCAUUUCUGAUGGUCACUACAUUUUGAGAGCCACUGCAUUUGAGAAUUUACAGCCUUUGCCGAACAAUGUUCUAUAAAUACAAGUGUCCUGUAGUCUCCUGGCUACGCCAAGUGGACCCUGGAAUGGCCAGGUGAGUUUGGCCAUUACAGUUGCCUGCCUCUCACACACUAGAGGGGGGAGCCUGGAUGCUGGGCACCUGCUAAGCUAAUAAAUCCCAAACACAUUAGACUAUGAGAGAUUAUUAUUAUUAUUAUUUUUACUAGAACAUGAACCAACAUUUCUAGAGAAUACUGCUAUAGAGUGAGGCGACCCUCACUCUCUAGAGGAAAUCAGGAUGACUAACUUCCUGUGAGGGUUUGUUCUAUGUAGCCUGGGCUAGUCUUGAACUUGUCACCUUCUUGCCUCUGUCUCCUGAGUGCCCUGGGUUUUGCAGUUUUUGACCUUUCUGACUCCCUGAGGAAGCUUCCAGGAGGCAGGGUCGGGCACAGACAAGUCAAUGUGAACCUCACUGAAACGCACACUGUAUGGAGUGAGUGCUUUGGAUGCUGGGAUUAGGACACAAAUGAUUUUAUCUUUAUUUAAAAACCAGGCAUCCCAUGGGGGUGGGAAGAGCGUACGGAUGCCGAUGUCCUGCACGUAUGAGAGUUUCUACUUCCUCUCCCUCAUCCUGGGUUUGGUAUCCCCCACCCUACUCCGCAUCCCCUAUAUAACCGAAAAUGAUUGUAAAAUAAAUUUUUAUGGGAAUUUUUAAAACUAUCCAAGAAGACUUUUGGAGCAUUGUAAAGUCCCAUACCUGAAACGCACAGCAGGCUGAAUAUUUCAGUUUUCAUAAUGAUGUUGUCAAUCAAUUUUUUUCUUGUCUCCUAGUAAGUCUUUUUUUUAAAACUCUGUACCUAUGUAACGAAGAGUUGCUUUUUAAGAUAUCCAAAGGGCUGUGAGCAACCCCGUGGUGUCUACAAAGUAGCACAGUGAAGAAUUGUUAAGGUUUGUGUUUUGUGUCCUCAUUUAACUCACCUCUCUGGCCUUGUACUUCCCGGUCCUUCCUUUCCCUCAUGAAACGACCCUUCCUGACUGAUGCCCCCCUGAAGUCAGCUGAUGUUCUUAUCAUAGUCCACCCAUGAUGAAAACAGGCAAAUUCCUCAUUUGCUCGGAUGGCCAGAGGCUUUACUCUGAGUUACCUAAUUCUGUAACCACCUGCUGAUUGCUGUUUCUUGUGGCGCUAGGGACACUUGGAUUAGAAGCUUCACCUGUGAAUGUAACUAAGUAAGCUCUUGCCUUGCUCCUCUCCACGGCAGUUUCUGAUGAAUCUCUGGAGAUCCACCCCUGGGGCCUAAGCCUGCCUUCUGGUGUUUUUCACAGCUGGCCUAAGGAGGGCGCUGUGGUGAGGUUGCACUGUCUGAACAGAAUUGUUUCUCUGCCACUUCUGAUGGGCUAGCCUCCUACUUCCAAAUGUACUGUAUUUGUUUACGGACUGUAGGUGGAUGCGUAGUGCAAAGGCUCGGCGUAAUAAACACAACCUCUCAAACCUGUGCUGUGGAGCUGAGUUUUCUUUUCCUUUCAUAUGUUUACAUAAAUUAUCAUUUUAUGUUGGGGUAUGCUGUGUGAAGUUGGGUCUCUGUUCUUACCUAAGGCAUUCUUUGAUUGGCUUUAAUAAAAAAAAAAUCGGGUGGCCAAUUAGCUGGGCAGGAAGUGGGAAGUGGGACUUCCUGGGAGUGAGAAAGGAACUCUGGGAAGAAGGAGGCAUGAAAGGACACAUGUGACUGUGGUAGCCACGUGGCUGUUGUGUUAACUUAGAUGAGUUGAGAGUCUGCCCAGCUUAGGCCUAAAGCUUUGAAAUAAUAAAAGGUCUCUGUGUGGUUAUUUGGAGAAAAUUAGAUAAGGAAUAAUUGCUGUCAUAUUACAGCAUUAUUAAUAAAAACAAUUUAAAGUA